rnacentral:rRNA from 1 species
AUGAAUCUUUUUUCCGCCGCCCAACUUACUGAUGGUUGUCGUGUCAUUCUUGAUACCGACUCUUGCUCCAUUCAGGAUCGUCGCACCAAGACUUUGGUUGGUGCUGGCCCCCGGCGCCGUGAGUCAGAGGGCCUUUGGGAGGUUGAAUGGCUUUGUGUUCCUUCCGCUGCCACCACUUCUGCCUGCUCCCAUGCUCUUGCUGCUUCUUCGUCUGCGUCCUUCCAGCAGUGGCAUCAUCGCCUUGGUCACAUAUGUGGCUCUCGCUUGUCUUCUUUAGUUCAUCAGGGCCUCUUAGGGUCUGUAUCUGGAGAUGUAUCCUUACAUUGUAAUGGUUGCAGACUUGGCAAACAGACCCAAUUACCUUAUCCUACUAGCGAGUCUGUAUCUCAGCGUCCUUUUCACUUAGUUCAUUCUGAUGUCUGGGGUCCUGCUCCCUUUGAUUCGAAAGGUGGUCAUCGCUACUAUGUUUUGUUUAUUGAUGAUUUCUCUCGUUACACUUGGCUCUACUUCAUGAAAUCUCAUAGCGAGGUUCUCUCUAUAUACAAAUGA